UCCUGGGAGAUAAGACUCUCUUCUCAGUAAAAUGGGGAUCAUAAUACCGGCUCCCUGACAUGCUGCUGUGGGAUUGGGAAAGCCCUUGCCUGUGAAACACUGAGCAGAAUGCCUGGUGCAUAGUAAGAGCCCAUUAAAAUUGAGCUAUUAUUGUUAUCCUUAGCUGAGUGAGGCAGCUUUGUAUCUCCACAUUUCAGAGAAAAGUACUGGGAAAAACAUUUCCGGGUCUCCUGCCUGCCAGGUCAGCGCUCACUUCAAGCAGCCAGUUUAAAAGCACCCAUUUGUUCAAACAGAUUCAGGCCUUGUGUAUCUGCAGCACCGAUCUUGACCCCAAAGGCUAAUUCUCUUUUCUUUUUUUCUUUUCUUCUCCUCUUUUUCUUUUCUUUCUUUUUAAAUGAAUGCCUGCACACGUGUUAUUUAUUUAUUCAUUCUUUCUUUAUUUACUUAUUUAUGGUUAACCUUAAAUUGAGGUUUGAGCCGAAACUCAAGCUGCGCAUACUUGAAAGGUGGACGGGCUCGUUGGGCAGCGGUUAGAGCUCUCGGGGUUUCCCCGCGGGGCUGCGAAGAGUACAGACAGGAAGCCCGGGACCCGAGCGCCUGACCAGAACUUCCCCGGGGGAGGCUGGAGCAGAGCACGAGCAUCCUGCCCAGAACUCUCCAGAGCGCGCCGGCCGAGCGCGUCGUCGCCUUCCCCAGCGCGCGUGCAGAGGGUCCCGGGCCCCCGCCCGUGGGUCCAGACUCAGCGGGCAGCGGGAGGGAGGUUGAGGCUAUUCCCCAGGGAGAGGUUGACCCUGCCAGGCUGGAACCUUCCAUUCCGGCCCAGCCUUUUCCCCCUUCUCUGCGCCCAGGAGGGAAUCGAGAAGGGACUUUCCAGAGAGCGUUAGCGUGCAGGGUGUGGAAAUGGAAUAAAAGCAUAUGCAAAUAGGCCCUUGCGUGCCUUCCUCUACCCCUGCGAGCAAGAGCCUUUCUCCAGAAAGAUGUUCUUGCUCCAAGACACUUGACAGCGCUCUUCCUUCCCUGGACGGCGGCAGCAGGGCCGAGUGAAGUGGUAACACCCGGGCAGCGGCAACGCCUGGGUGGGCCGGGUGGACAGGAGGGAGUAGCAAACAGAGGAGGGGAAGAACGGCCGCUGAGUUGGAAAGACAAAGUAAAACGAAAUUUUAGGAGCUCGCUGUGAGUAUGAGCUGGGAAAAAUAAUCAUGGCAGGCUGAUUUAUUAUGUACGUACCCUCUGUCUGAAAAGUAGCUGGCUUUUGUACAGUGGGUUAUUGCAGAGUAAAUGGCACAUUAAAGAUAUAAUCAAGAUGUUUAAGGCAUAUUGAAUGACGUUAAAAAGUAGGUGAGACUUCUGUCACGGUCUAUAAAUAUAAAACUGUCAGGGCCUUGGAGAGAUUUCCAGUGCUUUAGUUAAGAUGUGGCUCCAUUCCCACAAGGAAAAUAUUUUUAACCUUUCGUUAUUUUCAGGGUGGGGUGGGAUGGAGUCUGGAAGUGGUGUAGAACCUAUAGGGAUGAUAAAAUAAUAUGCUUUAAACCCUGGAGUUGUAGACUGUAACCUCUACUUAGCAAGUCAUGAACUUCCUUGCAGUGACAGUAGCAUGAAAAUAUUACAUAGUGCAUAUUGGUACUUUUUAUUUUAUACUGGAGUAUAGUUGAUUAACAAUGUUGUGUUAGUUUCAGGUAUACAGCAAAGUGAUUCAGUUAUACAUAUACAUGUAUCUAUUCUUUUUCAAAUUCUUUUCCCAUUUAGGUUGUUACAUAAUAUUGGAUCUCAUUCAGUCCUGCCUUUGGGUGUAAGAGUUUUUGUGUUUUGAAAAUAAUCUUUUUUUUUUUUUUUAACAUGCUGAACCUGACUUUAUAUUAUUGGGGCAAAUAGCGUAGCUUUUCUUUCUUAAAGACUUAACUGUAUUAUUGUAUUUUCUUGUCUUUUGGGACCUGUACAUUCAGUGUCCAUUAUUUCACUUGCUUACCCAGAGUUCUGCCUGAUUUUUCCCCAAACUCUUCUGAUUGCUGUACACUGCUGACAUUUGCCCCCAUGUUGUAAACUAUGGAUUUGAAUAGAGUGGAUUUCUCUUCAUUUGUUUAAUAAAUAUCACCUUGCUAUCCUUAGUCAUAGCACUUUUGAGAACAGAUAAGCAAACUCUUUAUGCUGGAGUUCACAGAGGGAGAAGAAGGUAGAAACUUGACUUGGGGGUUUGCUCAGAUAGUUUGGAGCUGCUUGGAUUGGUAGCACGUGGACUGGCUGGGGUCGGAGUCUUUUCUUCAGGAUCUGUCCAGGCCCAGGCAUGGGAUGGGGUGCAGUGCUGACUGGAAGGCCGGUGAUGAUUCUUGGUUAUCCUCUUAUCUCUGAAUUCCUAUCAUCCCACCUUUUUCCAAGGACCCUGAAGAAACUUAGUGUAGUCUUACCUUCUCAGUGUGGGCCUUUGGGCUAAAUCUGUAGCAAAUGUUUAUUUUCUCUGACUGUCAGCAUUUUAUAGGCUUGGGUGUGAUCCGAAAAGCCAGCUUUGGGUACUUUUUAAAAUUCAAAUGGUGAUUCAUCCCUCUGGUUGUUCUACAAUCUGGCAAAAGUUCCUUAUUUUGGUCCUGGCCUCAAUCUUAAUAACAACAAGACAUUCUUUUUAUUUUAAUGAUCACUAAUGAAGUAUUUUUAUGGUUUACAAUUUGCAAAGCAUUCUCAUUUGGGUCAUUUCGUGUAAUUCUCCCAUAAAAUCUGUAAGGUUAGUAGAGAUAGUAGAAUUGGCACAUAAUGGGAGCUUAUUAAAUAUUUGUUGAAUGAAUGAAUUAUCCCCAUUUUACCCAUUGAGACUCAAAGAGGUCAAGUGACCUACUGAAAGCCCCACUGCCCAGGAGGGACUCGAACUCAGAUCUUCUGAUUUUUUUCCGCUCCAGAUCGGCUCUGAUAUAAUGUUUUACAUGAUAUUUGUUGUCUUUUCUCUAGGGAAAUGUCUUUGAUUCUCCAAAAAAGAUACUGAGAAACUGCAAACAGUUGCCUGUACUAUCAGAGGGUGGCCAAGAGCUUCCCUACCCCUUUAUACAGACUUUUCUUAGGCUCCUUACUCUGCCAGAAAUUUAUAUCUUUAAGGUCAUGACCGUUUGGAUAUGUUCCUUAUUGGGGAUAAACAUUCAAGGUUAUGCUGAAAAAAUGACUGUCUUGGAUUUUUAGUAUUUCUUGGAGGUGUGGGCAUAAAACCACACAGAUCUCAGAGGAAACUAAUACCACGGUUUUGCGUGUGUAGCUGAACAGCUGUCUCUAGCUUUGUCUCCUGAGGUAUGGGGGGAGGCAUGCAGUGCCAUCUUUUGGCCGGGGGCCUGGUGUGCGGGGACCAGAGGUUGCCUGGCCUACAGUAGUUGUGACCACUGCUCCCACUGCUUGAGGAACUGUCAUCCAGAUCCGCUCGGAUAUUAAAAUAACAAGGAAAGAGCCCCCUGUUCUCCCAAAGCCGAGACUUAGGCUCUAUGCACCAGUAACACUCCAUCUGCUUGCCAGAGACUUCCUUCAAGCCCCGUGACACCAGGAAGGAGAAUUUCCCUUCUAAAUCUAAAGCUAGUUAGAGAGGAAUGACAGCGGGAGUCCACCUGGGCCCUUUCCCUUUGACUUCUGUAAUUGGAGAUUCAGAGCUUUGGCUGUGAAGUUUCUCCCAGAGGAAAGUUGAGAAAACAGUUCUGAUUCCUUCUCUACUGAACUGACACCCCUUCUGUCUCCAGUGUGUGAUUGUAUGGCCACGUAGGUGGUCUCAAACCUGCCAGUAUUGCCCCUGAUGGCUUAUGUGCCUUGUUUAGAAAGGCCUUUCUGAAGUGAAGGCUAUAAAGAUUUAUUCUUAUAUUUAUUUUAUUUGCAGUUAACUCUUUCAUCCAGCUGAAGUGUAUUUUUCAUAAGGUGUGAGACAGAUCUGAAGUUAAUAUUUUCCUCUAUAGAUGCCAGUUUCCCCCUCUGCAGUUCGUUUGUUUGUUUUUUAAUAAGCUUUUAACUUUAGGAUAGCUUUAGAUUCACAGAAAAUUUGCACAGAGAGUACAGAGAGUUCCUGUGUACUCCUCUCGGCUGCUUUUUGACUUGAAAGGAUAUAUUUUUGCCUGGUCCUAAAUUCCCACAUAUACACAGAUGUCUUUCUAGAAUCUUACUUUUAUUCUAUUGAUGCAUUUGCUAUUUCUGCCUCAACGUCCUAUGUUUAAUUAAUAUUAGUUCUAGAGAGUUCAUAGCUUUUGCUAGGGAAUCUGAGAUCUUACAAGGCUUUUAAGAGGUCAUGUCCAGACCUCAGGGAAGGAAGGCAGUAUUAGCCCUGUGUAUGGGUGUUAACUGCUGCUGAGGUGACUGGCCAGGAAGGAACACAUGUACCUCUCUAGUACACAGGGAGGGGUCAUCAUUGGUGACCUGCGUCUUGUAGAGAACGCCCUGUUCCUUGAGCACAAGCCUCGGACGCAGUAACACGGACUAGGCUCUGGGGUAGGGUUUUUCCUCCUUAGUACCACUGAUAUUUUGGGACUGAUCGUUCUUUGCUGUGGGGCUGUCCUAUGCAUUGUAGGAUGUUUAGCAGUAUCCCUGGUCUCUACCCACCAGAGGCGUUAACAGCCCUAACUACUCACGACAAUCAAGUUAUGUUCAGACACUGAAAAUAUCUCCUGGGGACCAACCUGCAUGCCUCACCCUCACCCCAGCUGAGAACCACUGGUCUGGUUCUAGCUGCCUGAGCGUUAACCCUGGCUCCACCGUUCAGCAGCUGUGUGCCUCUGUUUCUUCCUCUGUAAAAUGCAAACAAUAAUGGUGUUUGUCUCCUAGGAUGGUCCUAGGAGACCAUUUUACCAUUUGGGCAAAUACACAUAAAACACUCAGAACAGACACUGGUGGGACAGGUCCUAGCCCAAUGUUAGCUAUUACUAUUAUUUAAAAAGCCCUUUAUAUUUGCUCACACUUCUAAUAAACACACAGACUUCCCAUUUUUCUACUACCUCCAUAGCUUCCCCACCACAGAGCAAACGUGUUUAAAGCCUAACAAUAUUUGCCCCAAAGUUACAUGUUAAUGAAAUGGAACUCUAUUUUCAGGGUUCUGUAACUGCUAAUUAAUCAGCUCCCAUGAUAAACUCAUCCGAGCUGCCUGCGAUUUUUAUUUGCAGCUACAGAAGAGCAAUUCCAGUUAGUGAACAGGCCUUUAAGUGACAGUCCAGCUUUGUGGAACAGCAGAAAGGCCCAGAAACGAUUCUCUAAGCAAGACAGUAAUGCCAGUGGGAAGAGAGAAAUCUGGGAUGAGGAGAAGACUGAGGGUUUGCUCAAUUCAUUCACUUGGUGGCUUUGGAAAUGCUGUGUUCAUUUAUCGUUGAAACACACCAUCAUCUUGCAGUUCAGAGAGGGCUGGAUGGAAGACUUGUCUUCCAGCAAUUCAUGUGACUUAGUCACCCAGAGGUUUUUUUUUUCCCUUUUGUAGCAGUAGCUUUUGUAAAACCAUAAUGUUUGCUGUUAAGCUUGUCCGAGAACCCCUCUCAUGGGGAUGAUUAUUUCCAGUGUGUAAGAAGAGCUGGCUGAUAUGGGGGAGGGGGUGUGGGCUCUUUCUACCUUCGUCCAAAGGGCUCACUUCCUCCAGUGAAACCAGGAGUGGUUUGAAGAGGCGAGGACUGCCCUGGCUUGAGCUGGAGGGGCUGGAGUCUGGGUGGGGCUCAUUAGUUUGCUGGCUUCAGUGAAGCUUGGUUAAUUCACUUAGCCUGUACCGCUGGGCUGUUGGGGACCUGGGUUCGGGAAUUGGAAUGAUUAGGUUGAAAUCCCAGUUCCUUAACUCUCUGGCUGUGUGGCCUUGGGCAAGUCUCUUGAACCUUUUCUCAUCUUUAAAAUGAUGUUGAUGAUUGUACCUUCCUCAUAGCUUUUUUUUGUGACUUUUAAGUGAGAUAAUUCAUUUAGCCCAGUGGCUGGUGCAUAAUAAGCACUUAAUACAUCUUAGCUGUUAUGGUAAUUGUAUAAUUAUCAUUUAUUUGAGUGUCCUCUGUGAGUACAUUCAGGUCAAAAUUCUACAGUUUGUGCCUCCGAAGAGUUUAAUACUCUGGAAAUUAGUGUUUUGACAGGUGAGCAUCGAAGGCUGGGGAAGUGGGAGGGAGUCAGAGAAGUCCCCAGAGACUGGUACCUUAGUAACCACAAGGGCAUGGACCCUGGAUAAGGCAGAGCCUGUGGAUAGAGGGAGAGACAGUCAAGGCCAUGGACACAGGGACAGGGAACUUAGAAUCCUCCCCCCCCCCCGCCAAUAGGAGACAGUUACCAAGUUUAAAGUGGAUAGGCUGGAAGACCAGAGAGAGAAGUAUCUCCCACUUCUGCUGAGUGAAUCCAGCCAUCAGUUUCUGCAGACUUUAAGCCUGUUUUGUAGUAAGCUCUGCCUGAUUCCUGGCCAAGUGGGCCCUAGAGCCUAGAGGUGCCUCCCUGACCCUCUUCCCGUGCAUGGGCUGCAAUCAGUUGUUUGGUGAGUUGUGUUUUAAGUCUCUUUUCUCUUCAUAGGAACUCACCUCAUGUUUAUAAGGGGAUUUUGUUUUACACAAAGGGCUAGUGAAGUUCAACCCUGGAGGAUAACCCUGCAGUUUCUUACUGGCAAAGAUUUGUCAACUCAGUUUCUUUAAUAUGGCCACGUCUGCUCCAGCUUUCCUCCUAAGGCUGUGUGUGGAGACCUAAAUGAGAUAAUCACUCAGACUGUUUAAGAUAAAAAAAAAUAAUAAUAAAGUGCUAUGUAAGGGACUGUUUUUUUAGUAGUGAGCAUAUACAGCAAUUUGGAAGCAUCUCCUUUAUACCUUUGGGAAAUGAACUGGAAGACCAGGAUUCAUUUAGCUCUGAAAGGAUUUUAGAUUUGCAAAGUUAUACCAGAUGAGUAGCUCUCCUAAAAGCCUCACAUACUAGAAACUCAUUCCUAUAUUCUAAGUGUAUAUAGCAAGAGCAAAGUGCCACAGUAGUAAUUUUGGGGCGGCAAAAUCUUAUUUAUAACGACUUUUGGGUUAGUUUUUAUUUUUUCCUCAAAGAGUGGGGAAAAUACAUGAAGGAGAAGGGCAUGAAUUCUUGGAAACGGAAAUGAAUAAUUCGUCUAUCAUAACACACCAAGACCAAGUCAGGUGUGGGUUUCUUUCCGUAAGAUAAAUUACAUACGUUUACCCAACAGAGUUACACAAGGAGUUCUGUCUUAAAAGAGAAUUCAGGUUUUUAUUGAUUUAAUACAACUUUAGGUUUCCUGGGCUCUGUACUGGGGAAGUGCUAAUACUGGGUAGAACAGGAGUGUUGAUAAAUGUGAACAGUCAAUGGUUAAAAGGCCUUUGUAUUGUUCUUUUGUUUCCGUGUUUUCUGACUACAACUCUCAUGAAGUUGAUAAAAUGUCUUAUAAUGUGGAGUACGUCCCGGUAAAUAGGAGGCAAUUACUUUGCUGAGUUGCUCUGUCCUGUUCUCCAUUCCGGCUGAGAAAUGGUUCUGGCUGUGCAGUUGAAGUUCACUGUGACCUGGCUGCUUCAGCAGUGCAGGAGCAAACUCCUGCCUCAUUGGGGAUGCAGACUCUGAAGAACCAGAGGUUGGAGGGUCUGGGUGACCCCGUACAGGUGGGGCCCCUGAUGUCCCCUGUCCAGGUGAUGCAGUGACUGUUCAGAGAGCUUGUGAGGAGGUUAUCUGAAAGGUGUGGUGGUCUUCAGAACCAGAACAUGACAGUUGGGUGGAGGGUGGGAGAGCAACUGGGAACAGGAGGGAAUCUUCCAGAGGGCAGAGGGAACGAGUUGUUCAUUAUAAGAAAGACAUAGAAUUUGUUAUCGCAGAACAAUUACUUGAGAAAUGUUUUCUAAUCGUCUACCAUGUGUAAUGUACCCCUGUUAUGGGGAGGGAGGGCAAAGAGGUUGAAAAUAUCACACCUGUCUUUGAGAAUUUCCGUCUCACAAGGCAUGCACUGAUGGAUACAAGACCCCACAGGAUCAAGUGUUAAACUGCAUGAUGGAUAUGCGGGACUAUUUCAUGCCCUCCCCACAACUGUUCAUCACAUCCGGCCAGAAUAUUUUAAAAAUGCAGGCAGGAUCACAUCACUUCCCUGUUUCUUCUGUUUUCCCCUGAUUCCUAAGCAAGGGUGAUGUGAACUGCCCCUUGGCUGCCUGGGCCUCCUUCACUUCUGUGCCAUGGCUGGUCUCAGUACCAUCCCCAGGAGAGGCGUCCAUCUCAGUCCCCACUUGUGUGCCUGCUCAUGUCCUAUCUCAGAGUGUUUGAACAUUCUGUUCCCUCUGCCUGGACUCCUGACCACAGCCUAUUUUUCCUUCAGGAUUUCUCCUUAAAUGUCACUUUUUCCUAACUACCAGGUGCUUGGUAGGAUCGUGUACUUUUCCAUUGGCAGUGCUUCUCACAUUUGAGCUCACUUGUUUUGUAUGAUUGUCAAUGAGACCUCAGUCUUUCCUGCUAUUUGGUCACCUCCAGGAGCAUCAGGGCAGCAGCCGUGUUCAUCUUCUUCCCUGCUGUCUCCAGCAUCGUGCUCCAGAGCCUGACACAUAGCAGGUGCUCUGUAAAUGAGUGAUGGAUGAAUGGAUGGCUGGAUGUGGAUGGAGAGAUUCCACUGUCCUUUAAAAGCACUUUGUCCCUUCUCCUACUGGGGUACUUGGUAUGUUGUACUAAACAUCCUGUCUACCCUCACAUACCCUCACAUGCCUACAGCUUCCAGAGGGCAGGAAUUGGAUCAUAAUCAUCUUUUCAUCACCAGGGUCUGGCUCACAUAAAAAGCAAUGAAGGUUUGUGGAUUAAGAAUGUAUUAUGCAUGAAUGGGGUCGGGGUGGGGGGCUUAUCUGGGUUUUAAAGUGUGCCUGGGGAUGAGGGUGAAGGAAAAGUGAAUUUAAGCAUCUAAAAUAGCAGUGGGAGUUGGGAUGCAAAAUAAGAUUAGGGUUAAAAAAAAAAAAAAAGCUGAAAACUGAAUUAGAUAUAUACCGCAUAGUCACCAGACACAGCUUGACAGGAUGUACUCAUACUGCAGACUGGAGGCUUGGGUGGCAAGGUCGCUGGGAAUUUCCCCACCCGAACUUAAUGCCUUGAAUAAUGUCUGUCUUUCAGCCUGCUGUCCACCUCAGGAGUUUUAUCCAUUCUACAAAUAUUUAUCAAGCACCUAUUCUCUGCAUUCCCAACAGGGGAACUGUCACCCCCAAAGGCACAAAAAUUGGCUUGCAGGAGGUGAAAAAUUUCAUUCUUUUUAUGUAUAAAGCACAGAUAUGCAUAUAGUACAUGAACUGAUAUAUAGUAUGUCUAUGGUAUUAAAAUUUCAUAGUGGGGGUGAUUAGGAAAAAAAUCUUUCUAAAAAUGCUCUUUUGGGGGAUGAUAAUGAAAAAAAGGUAGAGAACUGAUUUGCUCUAUGCCAGGCAUUAUUCUUGUCAAGGUGCCUACCCCCAUGGAAUUUUCAUUCUUGUGGGGCAGGCAGUAAAUAAAUAAGUAGCCAUAACUGUCAAAGAGUGAGAAAUCCUGUAAAGAAGAAAAAAGUAGGCAUAGAGAUAGUGUGCAUGGGGGUGAGUAUGGGCACGUCUGUGGCUCUUUGAGGUAGGGGGUCAGGUAACUUGGAUGAGGUGACACUUGAGAAGACUCUGGAAGAAGUAAGGGGGAAGAGCAUCCCAGGAAGAGGCAGCAGGGUGGAGGAAUUGGAACGGCAAGGAGGCCACUUGGGCAGGAGUGGAUGAGUGAGGGAAGGAUGGUGGGAGAUGAGGCUGGAGACGGGACAGGGGCCAGGUCACAUGGGCCUUAUAUGCCGUGCUAGGGGUUUGGGUGUUGCUCUGAGCAAGCUGGCAAGCUUUAUGCAGGGGAGUCACUGACCUGAUUUGCCUGGCUGCUGUUUGGAGGGUGGACAGUAGAGGCAGGAGUAGAAUCAGGGGACCAGCAAGGAGGCUAUCGCUGGGGUCUCCGUUGGAGGUGAAUGGCGGCUUGGGUGAGAGAGAGGGGUUAAGUUCCAUUGUACUGUGAAGGGAGGGCUCACAGGCCUUGCAGAGGGAUGGAAGGGAGGGUGCGAAAGAAAGAGGAGUCAGGUAAGCCAAGGUUUAGCCCAGGCACUGGGUUCCAUUUAUGGAGACGAGAUCGACUGUGGGCGGAGCACGCCUUCCCGGGGACCAUUCCUAGAGUGAGGUCUUCCGUCUAUCAUCUGCAGGCCCCUCUUGUUGACGCUAGGCUUAGCAUGUAUAUAUAUUUAAUUUAAUAUGUAUAUAUUUAAUUUUAAUUGAAAAAUGUUAUUUUUAUACAAUUUUUAAAGUUUACUUUCCAUUUACAGUUAUUAUGAAAUAUUGACUAUAUUCCCCGUGUUGUACAGUAUCUCUUUGAGCCUAUCUUAGCAUAUAUUAUAUAUUGCCUUCUACAGUUACUUAUCUUUCAUCUGUAUACAUCGCUACCUUACCUAGUCUUUAAAUUUCUUUAGGGAAGGAACUUUUUUUGUUGUUGUUGUUCUUUCUCCAAGAGGCAGGCAGUGGGGCAGAAUGGUUACAAUUGUUAAUUGUGUGUGCUAGGGUGUUUUAACUGCUUAGCUUUUACCCUCUUUCCCUUUCUCUUCCCCCCUUCCUCUUCUUCCUCAGUGUUUUUUUUUGUUGUUGUUCAGUGAAGAAGGCAACCGUAUCUACUUCCUACCACCACUUUGUGAAAGCAAAGUGAGACUUGCAUAUAAAGCCUUGCGUAGGUCUGGCAAGCGGUUGGUGGUUGGUGGUUUUUACGUCAUGUGGCUCUCCCCUUCCCACUAGAUUUCUGUGUUGCUGGCUCUUGUAUCUCAGGGUCAUCUAAGCUGGAGCUCUUUGCGGUAAGGGUAUCCCUUUUCCCCUUCCAUGUCUUGGUUUUCCUUCAUAAAAAAAGGGGGAAGCAAGGAAACAGUGGAGCCCCUCAAAUGCGGGUAUUUGCUCUGUACGUGAUGUUGAAUCCUAAGUGUGACAGGCUCUGUUGAGUUGAGGAUGAUGGAGAAGCCUUUCCAUGCCACCCGGGGGGAAGUGAGUGCCAAGUGAAUCAUUUUCAGUAAGUGGAAUUGAUGCUGCAGCCUGAGCAAUACAAGACGUUUAUAUAGUAAUCACCAAAUUGUGUGGAUCCAACCAGAAUGAAAAAUGCCUGGAGCCUUGGCUUAGGGCCAUGGAUGAACAGAGCAUGAAGCCUGGCGUGGAACAGGAGGAGUGGAAGGCAUGGGGGUAGCACGGUGAUAUAAACAGAUGUACAUUUAAGUAGAGAUGAAAAUACGUCGUUGCCUCUUUCCCUUUCUGCAGUCGUGGCAGACUUCGUUAAUCUAUCACAUCAUUCAUUCCUGAUUCUGAUAUAAAGCUAACAUUUCUUGAGUGUUUACUGCAUGCCAGACACUGUGUUCUGUGCACAUCAUCUUCUUUACUCUCCACAACAACUCAGUGAGGUGGGUCUAUUAUUAUCCUCCUAGUCUGAUGAGAAGACAGUCUCAGAGUGGUCAGUAAUGUGCCCAGGGUCUCCAGGCUGGCCAGUGGCAGAGCUGAGAUUACAACCCUGGCCACCAAACUCUAGAGCCUGCUCUCUAAUUGUUACGCUUUACAGCCUCUAGCUAUGCCCAGAUGCUACCUCAGAAUCCUUCUACCCCGUAAAUUUAUUCCCAUCUGCUUCAUUAAGGCUGUGGGAUAGAGGUUCAUACUACAUGUGCUCAUUUGUUCAUUCAUUCGCUCAUUCACUAAACAAUACUUCUGUGCGUCUGCCAUGUGCCAGGCACAGUGUUAGGUGCUGAGGAUUCCGUAGUGAAUGAGACACAAUCCCUGCUCGGGGGCUACGCUUAGUAGAUCAUGACUUCUUGUCUGAGACUCUCUGCGGGUAGGAAGAAGACUCAGAAUUUGUGUGAUUCGGGAUACUUCCCUGUGUUGGACCAGAAGGUGUCCCGAUUGAUGAUGGAAAUCAGCAACAACCUGAAAAAUGUAUUAUAAUGCCCAAGCAUGCACCCUGGACCAGAAAUCGGGCCACCUGCCACCUUUUUCUGACUUGACUGAUUGAGCUAUUUGAUCUUGGGCCUCAGCUAUAACUCACGUUCAAGCAGUGCUUUCUUAAGCGUUCGUUCACUUUGUUCCUUCCAGUAGCUGAGUGGAAGGAGUUCUCUGAAGUGCAGAGAGGUUAUGUGACCUGCCUGGUUCUCACAGCUGGUUGGAGACAAGCAGGUUGGAGACUAGAACCCAGUUCUAACUUCUAGCUCCUUGUUCUUACUAUCUCAUCAUGCAGUAUCUUAAUGUCUUGAGGCCUUCAGUUUCUCCAUCUAUAAAAUAGGGAAAUUAAACCACAUGGUCUCUAAAAGUUCCUCCCUCCUUCCCUCCUUCCCUCCUUUCCUCCCUCCCUUUCUUCCUCCCUUUCUUUCCUUUCUCCCAAAUCACUGCAGUGCCUAUGUGAUCCAGACAUUAUGCUAGAAGUUGGAAAUAAUGUUGUGGAGAACACACACACACACACACUCACACUCACUCCUCAAAAAAGUUAAAAGCCCAUAGAAUGGGAGAAAAUAUUUACAAAUCAUAUACAUGGGACUUGUAUCCAGAACAUGUAAAGAACUCUUACAACUCAAUAAUAAAAACAGCCCAAUUAAGAGCUUGGCAAAGGUUAUGAAAAGACAUUUCUCCAAAGACGUGCAGGUGGCCAGUAAACACAUGAAAAGAGCCUCCGCAUCAUUAGUCAUCAGGAAAAUGCAAGUCAAAACCACAAUGAGAUACCACUUUACACCCAGCAGCAUGGCUAUAAUCAAGAGAAAGAUAAUAACAAGUCUUGGCAGAGGGUGUGGAGAAACUGAAGCCCUUAUACACUGCUCGUAGCCUUUGAAAAUGGUGCCACCCCACUGGAAAACAGUCUGGAAUAGAGUUACCAUAUGACCCAGCAAUUCUACUCCUAGGGAUGUACCCAGGAGAAAUGGAAAUGUAUAUCUACACAUAUGCUUGUACACAGGUGUUCACAGAAGCAUUGUUUAUAAUAGGCAAAAAGUGGAAACAAUCCAUUUGGAUUGUUUGAAGAAAAUGUUUUAAAACUGGUUAUGUUGAUGGUUACAUAACUCAAUGAAUAUACUAAAAACCAACAAGUUGUACACUUUAAAUAGGAGAAUAGUAUGAUAUGUGAAUUAUAUCUCAAUAAAACUAUUAUAUAUACUUUAAAAAGCCCUAGCAUGAGCUCUGCCCUUGUGGAAAACAUAAUCUUGUUUGGGAGAUAAGUAUGAAUCAAAUAACUAUACAAAAGUUGUUUUUUUUUUUUUUUUUUUUUUGGCGGUGCGCGGGCCUCUCAUUGUCGUGGCCUCUCCCGUUGCGGAGCACAGGCUCCGGACGCGCAGGCUCAGCGGCCAUGGCUCACGGGCCCAGCCGCUCCGUGGCAUGUGGGAUCUUCCCGGACCGGGGCACGAACCUGUGUCCCCUGUAUCGGCAGGUGGACUCUCAACCACUGUGCCACCAGGGAAGCCCACAAAAUUUUGUAGUUACCAAUUAUGAUAAGUGCUAUGAAUAGAAAGAACCAAAUCUUAUGACAGAGACUAGGAGGAAGUUAAUGGCGGUUAGGGAAUAGAUAUUGAUACUAGGAAAGCUGUAACAUUCCAGUGCUCCAACAGAGAUCCUCAAAUAGCAGUGGCUUAAACAAGGUAGAUGUUGAAUUCUCGCUUAUACAGUACUGCAGGUGUAAGCAGUGCGGGGCUCAUAUGGAAGCCCACAGUUGCAGGGAUCUUCUGGCGUGUUGCUCUGUCUUUCCCCUGGGGGGGCUGCCCUCAUCUGCAUGGUCCACGGCGACUCUCCAUCAAGUCUACAGGCCGGCACUGAGAUGGGGAAGGGGGCGCUGGAAUGCUCAGCAUUUCUGCUCACAUACAAUGCUCAGUCACAUGAGGCUGGGAAGAGAAGUCAUAUGCCAGGUGUCCAUGUGCCCUUAGGGGCUCUGUUAUAACCUUGGAGAUCCUAUUACUAAAGAAGGAGGGGAGAACAGAUGUAGGGUGAACAAUUAGCAGUUUCUGCCGUGGAUGGCCUCUCUGAGGAAGUGACAUUGAAGGUGAGAACCUGAGGAUGAGUUGGUAGAGAGAGAGAGGGAAGAGUUUUCCAGGCAGGGGGAGAGCGUGUGUAAGGGAAGGCAGGAAAGCCCAGCUACAACGUUUAAUGAUGUUUAAUGAUGCGCGUGUCUGCGAAGCACAUCCUCCAGGUGCUUAGGACUCAGGAGUGCCAGAACUAGACCUGGUCGUGGGAAGCAGCGGCUCUGGAUUCACCUGGCUUUUCUCUCUUGUAUCUUACAGGGCUGGGACGGGCCUGGGCCGUGAGGAGGGGGGCUUUGUGCCGACUCUGGAAAGCCUAUGUGUAUCCCCAGCUCUGAGAACUGAAUUCCAUGGGUUGUGUCAGUGUCAGACCUGUGAAGUUUAGUUCUUCAGCUGGGAUAUCUCUAUCAUCCUGGACUCGAGGGACAUUGGAGAGAACAGAUCCAAGGUCGGCUGAAGAACCUGGAAGACUGGAGACAGAAGGGCCAAGUCUCAGGCUCUGAAGCAAUAGGGAGGAUGGGUUCACAGGAGGAGCGCUCAUUUCAUUGUGAGAAGACUCGGAUUCUAGCCGAGCAGCGUUCUAACUAGCUAAAUGGAUGCUCUAGGCAAGUCAGUUUUGCUGCUGCUGCUGCUUUUACUAGUUUACCUUUAUUGAUUACUUACAACGUUCCAGGUGCGGUACUAAGUGCUUUCCAUGCUGUUAUGGGAGACUCUUGGGAAAAAUCACUUUAGUGAAGCUUGGGACGCCUGGCGCUGCCAUGCAAUGAUUUUUUCCCCUUCUACAUGGAAUCAGACAGAAUUAACAGAAUGUGACAAGUACUCUUUGGCAUGGAUUGCUGAGCUAACUAGCUGGUCCCUCUUUAGGAUGAGAUACAUGGAUACAUCCCUCUUGUGGUCCCCCUCUCCAUUUAUUUGAAUCUCUACUUCCUUGCCUUCUGUAAGUACAUUAGGGCUAUAUAGUGUCUUUGUAUUCCAAACUAGGCAAAAGGAGGUUGUGAUUAGACCUUACUGUGGUUCCCAGUUUCUCCCAGGGAAAAGGGAUAUGAGGGUUUUGAAGGCCUGCUCCCUUUGCCAGUAUGGUCAACUGUGUGCUGUAGGUCAAGCCCUCUGUUGUCCUCCUGUGUCACUGUCAGCUUGGUCUGCUCUGAGGGUCACGCUUUCUACAAUAAUGAUGAUUUCCACCUUUAGGCAGAGGGCUGAGGGCUGAGGGCUGCCUAAGUAAUAUCUGGGCUUUAUUAGGCUUUAGAUUUGAUGGGGAGCCAGGCAUUCCCAUCUAUUGGAAAUUCAUCUUUGAGGGUCUUGGUGUCCUGAAAUGUCCAUCUCCGUAUGUCUACAGAAUGCAGGUGUGGUCUGGCCCAGGGAGGGGAGGCAGGCACAAAGUGGGAGGCCCACAGCACAUGCCUUCUCACUGUGCCUUCUCAGUGACACUGAUGUGUAUCAAGUGCCCACUACAUGCUGGGCACUGGGCUCAGUGCAUCUUGUGCGUGAUCUCAAUGAAUCUCACAUCAGGCCUUAUCUAGAAAUUGAGGACAAAUUAACCAAAGGAUGUCAAAUAAAAAAGUGUAAUGAUGUUAUACGGUACAAAAGGGUGCUUGGUUCUUCUGAAGGCCCCUGGCGUGGGUGUUGGACAUGCGUGUGCUCUCUGGGCUGUACUGAUGGUAUUAAGGGCCUCUCCCACCCCCUCUCAGUCUGCCCAUUUCUGUCAUUUGCUUCCUAGACCUUUAGCCAGUGACUCAUUCUAGAACCGGAACACUGGUGAAACUCAACUGAGACCAGAGAUCAGUGUCUUUGGUUCUAGAUGCUGGAGAAAUUCCAGAAUUUACUCCAGAAGCUCCAAAUGCUCUGGAUUUCAGACCAUCUGUGUUGUGAACAGGGGCUUAGAGCACAGACUCGUGGUUUACUGCAAAAGGCUAAUCCUUAAUGCAGGUGAACUCUUCCUAAAGCAAACCUGGUAAAUGAAAUAUGGAAUUCUCUCUCUCACGCACACACACACACUUAAAAAAAUAACACAGUAGAUCUAUGAGGAGUAGGUGAAAAUUCACUAUAUAAGAUAAUAUUUCAUUUCCUAAGAGAACUUUUAUUAAGUAAGAGGUGAUUCCAUUAAGUAAUACAUUUUCCAAGGAUUUUUGAGAUUGUAUUUGCUUUAUCAAAACAUUUUAUAUAAGUGGAAAAAGUAGGUUACAAAAUUGCCUGGAUUAUAUGAUUCAAUUUAUGUAAAAUUAUAAAUGCAUAAAGGAAUAUGUGCAUUGAAAAUUGUACAUCAAUUUAUCAACAGGGAUUAUUUCCUUAGUGGUGGGAAUUAACAUGUGUUUUUCUUUCUUUGUAUUUUCUUCUAGUGUUUGAUUCUUACACUGAGCAUGAUUAAUUAAAACAAUAAAGUUAUUAUUUUUUUAAUCAAUUUUUAUUGGAGUAUAGUUGCUUUACAAUUUUGCAUUAGCUUCUACUGCACAGCAAAAUGAAUCAGCCAUACAUAUACAUACAUCCCCUCCCCUUUGGAUUUCCCUCCCAUUUGGGUCACCACAGAGCAUCGAGUAGAGUUCCCUGUGCUAUACAGUAUGUUCCCCUCAGUUGUCUAUUUUAUACAUAGUAUCAAUACUGUAUAUGUGUCAAUCCCAAUCUCCCAAUUUCUCCCACCCCACCUCUUUCCCCCUUGGUAUCCAUACAUUUGUUCUCUACAUCUGUGUAUUUCUGCUUUGCAAAUAACGUCAUCUGUACCAUUUUUCUAGAUUCCACGUACAUGUAAAACAGUAAAGUUAUUGAAGAAGAUUUCACAUACAGUUGUGAUGAAUCUAGACAAGUGCUAGUGCUGUGCAUUUGGUAGAAGGUAUGUUGCACAGGUGUGUCAUGAAAGAGUGGAUGGAGGUUCCUGAUGUGUUCAGUGAAGGAGGUGGGCGUAGGGAAAUAUACAGUGUGAUUUUUUUUUUUCAAGAGGGAAGUGUGUAUGUGUGUCUUUGUAUGGAGUCCAGUGGGUAGUGGGUGGUAAGGUAGCAGGCGAUUUUUCUCUCUCCCUUACUUAGGCUUUUCUGCCCAAAUAAGAAGAAAAAUAACUCUCACCGUAUAUGUGCUACUUUCCAAGAAUCCAUCCAUCGUGUAAACCAGUGGUUUUCAAGUGAGUUUCCUGGACGAGCCACAUCAGUAUCACCUGGGAACUUAUUAGAAGUAUGAAUACACUUUACCACGAAGGAAUGAAGAGCUAUGGGCGGGGUUCUGGCAAGUGGUGAGAGAGAUACUGUCGGUUCUUUCAAAUCGCACCAUGACCAAAUCCUCUUUGCCUUUGAUAGGGACGAGCUAUCUGGCUCUGAUGUGGGAGACAGGGUGAGUAUCUGUGAGAAGCAAGUAUCUCCCUGAAACUCAAAUUAAACCCUCCGUUAUCCUGGAAUCCAGAGCCUCGUUGAACUAGCUCACGAGGCUGCCGGCUUGAGAACAGCGUGGAAACAGGACUGCUCUGGGACUGAGAGAUGAUCUUUAAGGCCCUUUUCUGCCUUGUCACUCUAGAAUGAGAAGAUUUAUGCCCAGACAAGGCUAUCCCUGGGAGGCCCCACCAAGAAGUAGAGCUUAGGCCUAAAGCCACAGUCUUGUUCUAAGACGGGCCCCCUGGGACUGGCCCCUGAGGACCUGUGCUGUCCUCACCGUCCACUGCUGCUUUGGGCUGGGGGAAGAUGGCGGACGAUAACGGAGACAAAACCCCCAAACAAAUCAAAAACCAACAACAAAAACCCUAUAGGAAAACCUCCUUUCUCUGGCAGCACCAGUUUCUGGGAUUCACGACUUAGACCCAAAAUGUAGAGUGGGAGGGGCCAGCAGGGGCCCGGGGAGGCUCCGCUAGGAUUCUCCUUCCCGCUUUGGGUGAUGGCUCUCUCUCCCCGCCCACCAAUGCCUGAUCGACAGCAAGCGGUUGCCUUGCGUGGCUGCUGCCUUUCCCACCGAGCAGGAUGUCAUAGAUACCUUCGCUGUCAAUUAAUAUAGAUCAGCACCAUGAUUCGUGUUUCUCUAAAGAUUAUUUUAAUGUUGACGUACAUUUUAAUGGAAGUUUAUUUUUUGGUUGGGUGACAUCAGUACCACAAUUUGUAAUGAUCGCAGAAUGUUCCAGUUAUGACUGUUUUUGGCUUUUUUUGGCCAGGCCUUGCAGCUUACAGGAUCCUAGUUCCCCGACCAGGGAUGAACCUGUGCCCGCUGCAGUGGAAGUGUGGAGUCCUAACCGCUGCACCACCAGGGCAUCCCCCUGCCCCACGGUUUUAACUGGCAACUCCCCACCCAACCCACACAUUGCACAUCCCCUAGGUCGCCUGUCUUCAUCUUGACACCGGGUGGAGGCGGGGAAUCACCGCAUCUUAGGGAUCAUCCUCUCUAGCCCUUUCAUCCCCCAGAGCAGGGAUGCGGCUUCCAGCUGGUGGCUGACCGGGGCUAGAAUUCAGGUUUUCUGAAUCACCACCCCUCUCAGGAUUACUGAAGGUGGCCAGGAAGGGAGGAAGAGGGGACUUCACCCUCCAAUGCCUGGCAGUUUACAGAUUGUUAAGAGUGUCCCCUCUUACACAUUUUUAUAUUCUCUUCCAUGUUUCUACAAUAAGUGUCCAAAAUCCUGUCCCUGGCUGCUUGCUUGUUGGACAAAUUUGGCCUGCCCGUCCUUCCUGUGCCCGAAAGUGGCAUUUUAAACCCCUCCUUCCUCUCUCCCAGAUCUGUCCCACCUCUGCAUCCCCCAGAUUGAAUUUCCCAAGGGCGACUGCCACACAGAGCUAGCAACCCGUCACGAGAUGGCUAAAUAUAAACUGUACAGACUGCAAAUAAGCCUCCAUGAUCAUCUGCUCCUUUGUUUAGCUUAUUAUCCUCCCAAAUCAGGCUGGCGGGGAGGCACGCGCCUCGUCCGUGCUGCACAGGACCCGGUGGGUGUUGGUGUCCCACAGGACAAGACAAACAAACACGCUCUGCUGUGUGCCGAGUCGUUCCCUUCUCCAUGGAGCAGGCCCUGCUUUCCAGAUAAAGCUGACAGUCCCCAGGCUCUGAUUUCCAAAGCAAAUAACUGUGAAUCCCCUCAAUGUUGGGAACAGAUGCAACAGUCUGGCUGAGGGCUGAGUGCAGCUAGGGACAGAGACACAUGACGUGCUGUGGAAGUCGUCUUACCUCCCUCAGGGGAGGAUGGGGAAUGGGGGACGAUGACCUGGGGAGGGAUCAAGGGUUCAGAGCUGUACCGCCAUCCUAGAACAUGGCAUGUAGGGAGAGUGACCCCCAGAGGCGCACAUUUUUCAGGGGGGACUUCCGAUCCAUUAGUGAUGUCUGACAUGGACCCAGGUUUGGUGGGUGUGAAUAGGUGUGCCUCACACUUGCCAUCUGUGAUCUAGAGGAAACCAAUCUCAGGAGGUAGGAUUUCUUGGUAUGUAGGGUGGAGCGGUGGUUCCAGAAAGUUACAGGCUUAGCUGAAGCCUCAAACUGUCAUGUUGAAAACAUUCCUAAGUGUUCAGGAUCUCAUGAAUGGUUGGUUUUUCUAGAGAGUUGAGGUCCAUUUUGAACCUUGGACUGUAAUGGGGACAAGGGCACAGGAAAGAAUCUGUGUUUGGAGAGGACCCAGAACGGGAUGCUGUCAUGAAAGGACACCGGUGACCUGGAUAUUUGGAUAUCCUGAUGGAUAUUUACCUGUCUUCAUCUUAAAUGACCCUUAUCAGCGCUUGGUGCUACUGGCCAUUUCUUUCUUCUUGAAUGAUGCUCUUCCCUUGCUUAAAAACACUCUUCUGCUUUUCCUUCUGUCUCUUUGAUCUUGCCUUAAUUUCUCUUAAGUUUCAUCCUCCUCUGUCAUUAAAUAUUAUGGUCCCUUGUCCAUAGACUUGUCCUAGGUCCCUUUCUUUUCCCACCCUGUGUUCUCUCCCUAGGUGAUCUCAUCCUAGCCAAUUACUUUAAUUCCCACCUACAUGGAUAUAUUCAACCUUUUAUAUCUUGAGCUACACAGAACCCCUCAGCUCCAAUGGCCUAUUUAGCAUAUCUGCUUGGGUGCCCCAAGGGCGAGUCAAACUCAACAUGUGCAAAAGCAAGUCUGUGAUCUCCCUUCUGUGCCCCGCCCACUUGGAUCUCUUCUGCUGUUUCUUAACUCCAGUUAAAUAAGCCAGAAAUGUCACCCUGAACAUACCCCCUCCUUCUCUCUUCCCGUUUCCAAUCCAUCACCUAGCCCUGAUGUUUUUUUUCCCCAGUUUUAUUGAGAUAUCAUUGACAUAUAGCAUAAUGACUUGCUAUAUAAGGGGUACAGUGUAAUGACUUGACGUGCAUAUAAAUACCAUAAGUUUAGUUAACAUCCAUCUCAUAUAGUUACAAAAACAUUUAUUCUCCUUGUGGUGAGAACUUGUAGGAUUUGCUCCCUUAGCAUUUUUCAAAUAUGUCCUACAGAAGUGUUAGCUGUAGUCAUCAUGUUGUACAUGACAUCCCCAGAACUUAUUUAUCUCAUAACUGGAAGUUUGUACUUUUGACCACCUUCAUCUAAUUCCUCUGCACCCUGCCCCCCCCAACCCUGAUUCUAGUAAACACACAUCUGUUCUCUUUUUCUAUGAGUUUGGUUUCAUUGUUUUAAAGAUUCUGCAUAUAAGUGACACCACACAGCUUUUGUCUUUCUCUGCCUGACUUAUUUCACUUAGCAUAAUGCCCUCAAGGUCCAUCCAUGUUGUCACAAAUGGCAGGAUUUCCUUCUUUUUAAUGGAUGAAUAAUAUUCCACUGUAUGUAUAGAUUCCUCACAUUUUCUUUAUCCAUUCACCUGCUGAUGGACACUUAGCCUGAUAAUUUUACCUCAUAAAUAUUUUUGAAUUUGUCCACUUUUUUCUGUCAUGACCACCAUCCUAGAUCGUUACUAAAUACUUUCCUUUCUUGCUCAGACUACAAAUGGUCCAAAACACCCCAAUUCCUUUCCUUAAAUUAAUUUCAGCUCCCAAGUUAUCAAAAAAGGUCUUUGUCAAAAGGCACCUUGGAUCACCCUCUCUUUCUCCUCCCACUGUUUCUACUCUGAUAUUGGCCUCUAGUUUACUGCAGUGCUGAGGACUGUUAAAAUCCCAACAUUCACAUGGUGGUUUCAUUUCAAAGCACUUUUUUUUUUUUCGGUACACGGGCCUCUCACUGUUGCAGCCUCUCCCGUUGUGGAGCACAGGCUCCGGACGCGCAGGCUCAGCGGCCAUGGCUCACGGGCCCAGCCGUUCCGCGGCAUGUGGGAUCUUCCUGGUCCGGGGCACGAACCCGUGUCCCCUGCAUCGGCAGGCGGACUCUCAACCACUGCGCCACCAGGGAAGCCCCUCAAAGCACUUUUGUUCUCAUCAUCUCAUUUUAUUUUCAACUGGCCCCGUGAGUGGGUCACAAUCACCGCAUUUUAGGGAUCUUAUCUGCCUUCCUUGGAAACAGUCUCAGAGACGUGGAUCACCUCUUCUAAGGUCAUCACUGGUUAGUGAGCAGGGCUCACGUCUGCUGACUCCCCACACUGACCUCACUGUUCCCCCCACUACUCAGAAGAGGACUUUGGAUGAGCCAGAUGCCCUUUAAGGCAUAUUCUAGGGCUAACAGUCUGUGAUUCUGUGGUUUACAGGGACCAAGAGGAAGUUGCAAAAACAUUUCAAAGAGAACUUUAGAGGUGAGGUUGAGAGAAAAGGUUCAAAGUGAAACUUGCCUUUCUCCACAAGCGAGUUUCAGAUCUGAAGCCUGAAGACAACAGAUCAAUUCUCUCUGCCUCGUGGCUGCUGCUUCUCUGGCCUCUCAGUGACCAUGACUGGAGGUUGGCUUACAGCCUGAUGGUGACCCAAGAAGGGUCAAGGGGUUUUAAUCUUGCUUGGGGAAAAGAUGGAACGUGGGAGGAAUGAAAACCUCAUGUUGUGCUAAAGAGGGUAAUGAGAAGUGAAAAUAAUCCACUGUGAAUGAGCCCCUGUGACAAAUUGAAAUAGAAGCAGGUGAGCCGUAGGGAUGGAGAAUUUGAGGGAAGAAAGAGUCAAAGCAAUGAAGGGCUAGUGAUUUCAUGUUCCCAAAUGCAAUCCACACAGUUUACAUCUGAGAACAUAGCAGAAGUUUGUGUUUGUGGUAUAGAUUGCUAUGUCUUCUUGUAGUUAUGUGUGAAUUAAGGGCUUCUCAAGCUGCAAAAAGAUUGUUAAUGGACUGAAUGAUCAGGAGGGACUCCGUUGAUGAGAUAGAUGGUCAUACUUCAUGAACUUUUCAUUAGGUUGGAUACAAAAAUAUAGACAUUUCCUUAUCCUGGGUGUGAAUAUGACAAAUGGUGAGCCUGUGCACAUGUAAAGUAGGGGUGGUAAAAAGUUGAAUUUCCCGUGGUAUCCCUGAUUGUGUACAUGGUUGUGACUGUCUUUUUUCUCUUUUCCAAAUGUAUAAAAUGUCCAGAACAGGGAAGACAGAAGACAGAAAGCAGAUUAGCGAUUGCUUAGAACUGGGGUUGUAGGGGAAGGAAGAAUUGGAAGAUGACAGGUACGCUUCCAUUCUCCCAACAAAAUGUCGGUGCUGGCUGCUGGGGGUAUGGAGCAAAUAAGGAAGACACGGUUCCUAAUCCCAUGGAACGCCCAGUUGUCGUAUUGUGAUUUAUAAUAAAUGUGUACUUGGCCUUUGUCCCCACUUCUGGCACAGACCUGCGAAAUUGGAAAUUUCCCUUGGAAUUUUCUGUGAUGAGAGCGUUUAAAGGCGUCUUUUGUUGUGUUGAUGGUAACUUCUGAACCACACCUGAGGAUGGAGGCUGGUUGCCAGGAGAGCCCAUCCUGUGAUUAUAAGUUUCAGUUCCACCCCCGACCUCGGGGCAGGGGAGAGGGGAUGGCGAAUGAGUUCAAUCGCCAAUGGCCAAUGAUUUAAUCAGUCGUGCCUACGUCAUGAAGCGGCCAAAAAAGCCCGGAAGGACUGAGUUCAGAGAACUUCCGCGUUGGGGAACAUGGAGGAGCCGGGAGAGUGUUGCACCUGGAGAGGGCAUGGAAGCUCCGUGCUCUUUCCCCACACCUUGUCCUAUGAAUCUCUUCCUGCUGGUCGUUCCUGAGUUAUCGCCUUUCAUAAUAAACUGGCAAUCUGGACAUUGCUGCCAUGUGACAAGCCCCGCUGAUGCCAAUGAGGAUGUGAGGCCACGUGGAAGGAGAUCCCAGCCAUCCAGCCCAAAUUGCCCACUCACAGCAUUGUCGUGUUAGGACCUUGUGCGUUUCCACUUGCUCUGCCUGGCUGGAAUCUCUGCACCCCGGGGAGACCGUAUUGAACCCCGUGAUGGCAUCGCUGAGACUGGGCGCCUGUUUUUCCUCCCAAGAAGCCACAGUGCCCACAGCAGUGCAUGAUUUUCAUCUUCCCCAUGGCAGAACAAAUCCACCCUUUAACCUCUUCUGUUUGCAAGGCAGUGGAAGCAGAGGAGGAAGAGAACCUGAACCAUCUGUAAGAAUGUCCUCACACAAAAGCAACGUUUACCAUGUGCUUGGUAUGCGCUGGGCACGGGAUGGAACUGAGUAAGACUGACAUUGCCCCUCCACUCAGGAAACUUCUGGUCUCCUGAGCAGCCCAGCACUGAAGGCGUAACAGUGCUGUGGAGCCCUGUGGGAGCCCACGGAGUAAAGGAACAUUAGGCGGGAUUGGAGGAGGUUUUACAGAGGAAACGGCUUGAGCAAAGGUCAGGAAGCGAGAGAGGACGAGGCUCCUGGAGAAUGGUAAGCAGCUUCAUGUGAUUGGGACAUGGACUGCUGAAUGUUGUGGGGAGGAAGGUGGCUGGACAGAUAAUGGAGCCCAGAUCGUGAAGGUUCUUGUAAACCAGCUUUGGUUGUUCCUGGAAGGUUUGAAGUAAGGACACUUCAUUUCUCUGCCUCAACCAUGGCUAAAAUUUAAUCCCCUAUGAGAAAUUCUUCAACAACCAACAAGCCAGUGUUUACUGAGGGUAUGCUUUGUGUAGAGUCUUAUAUUUAGAAAUGAAUAUACAACACUAAACAUGGGACAAGCUUCACUUUUCAGAUCUCCCCACCAGCCAUCAACACUCGCCAGAAUAUCAAGUCCACAGGCACCUGAGGUGCGUGGUAUUGUGCCAUGUGUUAAGUAUGGAAGGGCACAUGGUUGGCAUCCCAGAAGUGAGUGGGCCUGGAUGUAUAUUGAGCUACCUGGAUAUUCUGAACUUGAGGCCCCUCUUGCCUUUGGCCUCCAUCCAAGUCCUGACUUUUCCUUAGCAGACCUGCUCAUCCUGAGAACUUGGAUUUGCUCGCCCACCCUGCUUAGCUGCUGCUCACCUGCUGA